rnacentral:rRNA from 1 species
AGAGUUUGAUCCUGGCUCAGGACGAACGCUGGCGGUGUGCUUCACACACGCAAGUCGAACGGGGUAGCAAUACCCAGUGGCGGACGGGUGAGUAACACGUGGGAAUCUGCCUUGAGAUGGGGGAUAGCAGACCGAAAGGUCUAUUAAUACCGCAUAUGUGUAUGUCUCGACAGGGGCAUACAUGAAAGGAGCAAUCCGUCUUAAGAUGAGCCCGCGUCCGAUUAGCUAGUUGGUAGGGUAAUGGCCUACCAAGGCGACGAUCGGUAGGUGGUCUGAGAGGAUGAUCACCCACAAUGGGACUGAGACACGGCCCAUACUCCUACGGGAGGCAGCAGUGGGGAAUUUUGUGCAAUGGGCGAAAGCCUGACACAGCGACACCGCGUGAGCGAAGAAGCCCUUUGGGGUGUAAAGCUCUGUCAGCUGGAACGAAACAAAUGACGGUACCAGCAGAGGAAGCAUCGGCUAACUACGUGCCAGCAGCCGCGGUAAGACGUAGGAUGCGAGCGUUGUCCGGAUUUAUUGGGCGUAAAGAGUUCGUAGGUGGUUUGUUAAGUUCGAUGUUAAAGAUCGAGGCUCAACCUCGGGAGUGCAUUGAAUACUGGCAGACUUGAGUGCGGUAGAGGCUAGUGGAAUUCCCAGUGUAGCGGUGAAAUGCGUAGA